rnacentral:lncRNA from 1 species
AAAAUUUUCAACUUGGCUAUCAUGUGUAAAAUCAAACAAGUGUUCGGUAAACAGGAAGUUGUUGAGUGAUGAAUCUGAAAACGCAUCAAGUUCCAAGUAUAGCUGACUUAUAUCAAGCCUGAAACCAAAUUUCAGAAAUCCUGGUAGUGUAGUUCCUGACAAAAAAUGUGACGAAAAAUAUUCAUGGGACGGACGGACUGACUGACAGACUGACGGACGGAUGGACUGACGGACUGACAGAAGGACAGACAGAGGUAAAACAGUAUACCCCCUUUUUUUCAAAGCGGGGGUAUAAUUAAAUAUCUUGCAAUGCAAAGCUAGUUGUUUGCGAUGUGCGAUGAUGCGUAGCUGCAUGGUAGAUUACCACGUGAAUUAGAUCAUUUUGAUUAUCUUUGAAUUCACCACAGUCGCUUGAAUUUUAGUGAUAUAUGUACGAAAUUUUUUUUUUUAAAAAUACUGUUAUAUGUAUAAUAUAUAUAACAGUAUUUUUUAAAUUUUUUUUUUCAUACAUAUAUCACUAAAAUUCAAGCGACUGUGAAUUCACUAACACGUGGCUGUUGACACAUUACACACAAUAUACUUAAAAUACCUGGGGCAAUUUACACUUCUGGUUUAUUGUCCCUUUAACCAGCCAGUGUAUCUGUGUAUGAUGUAUUUAUCUACCGUGCAAGGGUUGUGUAGCCAGUCAAGGUCGUUAAAUGUAUCUCUAGCUUCAUUGACAGACUCCCAUAAUAUAUUCGAAAGCGGAUCCCGGAUUUUGAAAAAAAAAGAAUGUGGAAGGACGUAAAGACAACAUUACAAAUUGGACUAGUGUACAUGCAACAUUCAAUCUAUUUCUUGUGUGACAGUUUACUGACUGUCAAACCCGUGUUCAAUUUAUUAUUUUGAUAUGGUUCCAUCAUUCGAAAAUAAGUUAUCAAAAUCUCAGUAGGCUAAAAAAAAAACUACUGGAUUUUACCCACAGAGUGCAACAAACACAGGUCACGGAAAUGGUCUCUACUACUUCAAACUUUGGCAAUCUAAAAUGGCAAUCUAAAAUGAAAUCUAAUCAGUCAAUUUCACAGUAUCACAAUUUCAUGUAACAGAAGAAGAUGGUGCCUUGAAGAUAUAUAUAUAUAGCUGAGUAAAAUAAAUAUUUUUUUAAACAAGAUAUAUGUAGGGAGCUCUAUUUUUAACCAACCCGCGCAUGAACAGAUUCAUUUUUUCUUGUAUUUACUUCCUGAAUGACACGACUCUAGAAAUGUUUGCCACUGGACAUCAAUUUAAAAAUUAAAUAGAAUCAGACAGUCAUGCUCGAGCAAAUAACAUUGAGAACGGAACUUUAUAGCAAGAUAUAUACUAUAGUGUAUACAGAUUGUAUUUGAACACAUACGAGGGUCUUGAAUAUUGUCUUAUAGUUGUAAGUAAUUUUUCUGUAGUCUUCAUAUUUUCCCCAAUUAUUCUAUAUUCUUUGUUUUCUUGGUGUCUAUUUAUUUACUUUUUUGGCCCUUUGUUGUGCACUUUUUGUCCAUAUAUAUUCUCUCUUCUUCUAUAUAAAUCCUAUUCAAACCCUUAUAAACAUACACAAUCAAAAUGUUCAACUCAAAACCCCAGUUGACUUGUCAUCCAUGGAGUUUUUCUCAACCGUUGAGAAUAUAACAAAUGCUAAAUGAGUCCGUUUAAAAAAAAGAUGUGGUGUGAUUGCCAAUGAGAAAACUCUCGUUAAGAGACCAUAUGCCACAGAAAUUAACAACUAUACAUGUAGGUCACCGUACGGCCUUCAACAAUGAGCACAGCCCAUACUGCAUAGUCGGCUAUAAAAGGAGAAAAAGUCUAGGAGUCCAUUACUGAUAUUACAUAUAUAUAUGAUUAAUGUAUCACGUAUACGUCUGAUGCUUAAUUGUUGGCUCUGCUGGAAGGCAAAAUAUUUAGCUCUUUACUGACUAGUAUUUAACAACUGAAACUAGAUAAGUUAUGAAAAUCAAGGAAUCUAUACAUGCUAUAACAGCAAAUUUGAACGGAACCAAAACGCAAAUUAGUAAAAUAAUAAGUAUACAACUUGCAUUCCAGCAUUUUAAUAUUGGUAAUUAUUAAUGAUGUAAUGCGUAAAUAAGUUAUCCUACACAGUGGAACAAAUGGGAAGCCAAAGUACGUUAAUGUCUGGAUUAAUCUUCUGCAAAAACAAUGUCAUUUUGUUUAUUUUAUCUGGUUAAAUCUUCUGACAUCAGACUCGGACUUCUUUAGAACUGAAUUUUAAAUGUGCGUAUUGUUAUGCGUUUACUUUUCUACAUUGGCUAGAGGUAUAGGGGGAGGGUUGAGAUCUCAUAAACAUGUUUAACCCCGCCUCAUUUUUCCGCCUGUCACAAGUCAGGAGCCUCUGGCCUUUGUUAGUCUUGUAUUAUUUUAAUUUUAGUCUCUUGUGUACAAUUUGGAAAUUAGUAUGGCGUUCAUUAUCACUGAACUAGUAUAUAUUUGUUUAGGGGCCAGCUGAAGGACGCCUUCGGGUGCGGGAGUUUCUCGCUACAUUGAAGACCUGUUGGUGACCUUCUGCUGCUGUUUUUCUAUGGUCGGGUUGCUAUCUCUUUGACACAUUCCCCAUUUCCAUUUUCAAUUUUAUUUCAAUAAACUGACUUAAAUAAAAUUUAAGCAAGUUAAACUGUAAGCUUGCCGCCGUUGAUACCCCACCGAAAUAUUUCGGUUCACAGGAAGUUGUUGAGAAAUGAAUCUGAAAACGCACCACACGGUACAACUUACUUGCAUAAACCCUGUAACCAAAUUGAUAGAUACGAAAAAGAUAGAUACGAAAAAAAAUUACUUAAAUAAAUGUUUAAUUUACAUGUAAUGUAUGACGUACUUAAAAUCAUCUUUGUGUAAAGAAACGUUUGAAUUGGCUGAUCUUUUUGUAAAGCAUGCUAUUUUGACGGUUACGGAUUCAGACUCAUUAAAGAUGCAUUUCUUUCUAACACAAACGAUGCAAACGGCUAAGCUCGCACAUGUUUUGAUCAUUUCUUUCAAAC